rnacentral:lncRNA from 7 species
GCUCAAUCACUGGUUCAAGUUGUGACUUAGGAUUUCUGCUACAACAGCAUAUAGGCUGGUAUGAGGGAGGAAUUCAAACUAAAUCAUCUGUGCUGUCUUUGGCUUCUCUACCGUGACAGUGAAAUGGCAGAGACCUCUGCAGCUCUUCAAGAAAGUGAUUUUCCUGAAUGCACUCUCCUAAUACCUUUCUGAUCAUCAACAUAGUUAAGUCAGUUAGUGACAACUGUGGAAUCACAGAGAGAUGGAAGGAAGAACUAAGGGCAAAGCUCACAAAGCAAAGCUCAAAGACAGACGGAGAUUCGUAUACCACAUGAUGAAGAGGCUCUUACUUCUGGUCUAAGCACUGUCCUGCCCUGCAUCCACUUGGAGCAGUGACUGAGCACUGCCUUCCCAAACAGCUGAAUUGCCUGGUAUUCCACUGUUGGACUAUAUAGAUCAAACUGCCUGCUAAUAAUUCAUUACCUCUUGUGGAAUACAGUGCUGGCAAAAGAAAAGAUUUGUGGGGGCAUUUCUGCUUUCUGACAGAGCACCCUAGGCCUGAGAUGUCAUGCUGGUUUCAGCUUUCUGUGUGAGAGCUAAUAGCUCUGCACUUCAGAAGUGGGGCAAGAGUUGACAGAUUGCCUGCAUGCAGCUCCCACAAACAACUUAUGGAGAUCAGGGUGCUGCUGUGAAGAUGUGUAGGAACUGCUCUCAGAACUGACAGCCUCCAAGUAGCUAGCCUUGAUAGCUCCUUUAUACUCUAAACUUAUGGAUUUUUAAAUUAUUCAGAGAGUUCUGUUGUCUGUGUUUUUUUUUUUUUUUUUUUCCCUGAAUUGUUGAGAUAUUUCAGUAGGGGAAUUUACAUUACAGAAUUUAGAGGGCUGUUGUUUCCUGUUUGUUCGUUCUCUAUCUGGAAUUCCCUCCCUUUUCUUAUUAAUGAUUUGUUGUCUUUCUGAGCACAAUGAAUGCAGAAAGAAUAAGACCUAAUGGUGCAGGUUAGUUAUCCAUGAAAUUUCUCUGUAUUUAAUUGUAACAGUUGGUAUCUUCCUGCUUAGUAUGACUGGUACAUUAAAUAUAAAGAG